rnacentral:rRNA from 1 species
UACGUAGGGGGCAAGCGUUGUCCGGAAUCAUUGGGCGUAAAGCGCGUGUAGGCGGAUCGGUAAGUCUGCUGUGAAAGUCCAGGGCUCAACCCUGGGAUGCCGGUGGAUACUGUCGAGCUCGAGUCCGGAAGAGGCGAGUGGAAUUCCUGGUGUAGCGGUGAAAUGCGCAGAUAUCAGGAGGAACACCAAUGGCGAAGGCAGCUCGCUGGGACGUGACUGACGCUGAGACGCGAAAGCGUGGGGAGCAAACAGG